rnacentral:rRNA from 1 species
UACGAAGGGGGCUAGCGUUGUUCGGAAUUACUGGGCGUAAAGCGCGCGUAGGCGGUGAUCCAUGUCAGAGGUGAAAGCCCGGGGCUCAACUCCGGAAUUGCCUUUGAAACGGGAUCGCUAGAGUCCGAGAGAGGAUGGCGGAAUUCCUAGUGUAGAGGUGAAAUUCGUAGAUAUCGGGAGGAACACCGGUGGCGAAGGCGGCGACCUGGGUAGAUACUGACGCUGAGGUGCGAAAGCGUGGGGAGCAAACAGG